UACGUAGGGGGCUAGCGUUGUCCGGAUUUAUUGGGCGUAAAGAGCGUGUAGGCGGCCAGGUAGGUCUGCUGUGAAAACUCGAGGCUCAACCUCGAGACGUCGGCGGAAACCAUCUGGCUAGAGUCCGGAAGAGGAGAGUGGAAUUCCUGGUGGUAGCGGUGAAAUGCGCAGAUAUCAGGAAGAACACCCGUGGCGAAGGCGGCUCUCUGGGACGGUACUGACGCUGAGACGCGAAAGCGUGGGGAGCAAACAGG
rnacentral:rRNA from 1 species